CAAAAUCUACAUAGAGACAAAAAGUUCCAUGGAAUAUGGUAGAAGCUGCUCCGGAAAGAUGAACAAACAAGUUCUACUUGUGGCCGCAUUUUGUAUAUGCUAUCAGUGAAAAAUUUGAAACGAAAACGACAAAAAAACGAGCCCCCAGUUGCGUUUUGGUUCCAAAGGUUUUGUAUUAUCAUAACGAGAUUUUAGGUCCGGCCUCCUCGACCGCAGACAGUGGGUCAAAAUAACAUGCACCAGUUGAGAUAAUACUACUACGAGUGUAAUAACUACGAACUGACGUCAACUGAUUAGUGAACAUGGGUGGUAAUAAUUGUAUACUAGCCUGAAAAUGGGAAACUUUGAGCACGUACUCCCAUACUUCUAUCUAUGCGUAUACUCGCCCUUCUUAUGUGACCCCAAUAACUUUGUUGUGUUAACUGUUUACUAGAUAAACCAAUGUGCCUUAUCUAGUCUUAUUUCAUCGAUUAGCUUAUACUUUACAACUAACGAGAAUGAGAAUAUAUAGCUAUAUUUCUAUUAUAUUCAUUAUAAAAGAUUCAUAAACCAUCAAAGGAAUAUAAAUGCGUUGUUUUUAGGGUUCAAAAUUCUUUAUGAAAAUCAUAAUCAGGUUGACCUUGAAAAGAAGUCCUUUGGAGUACCAAAACUUGUUUUCUAUAUGUUUCAAAACAACCCUUAAACUUGUGGCCCUCUUUUCUCACUCUCUUUUUACUCUCUAUAAGCUAUCGUCAAAAUGUUUGCAUUAAUUCUCUCUUUCAUUGACUGAAAUCUCAAUUAAAUGGUAGGGACAAAAUGAAAUAGAAAAAGUGCAUAUUGCGUCUAUCAUGAGAAGACGUCAGCAUCUGAUGAAUUUACGAUGACGUUGGCUAAUUGAAGUCUAAGCGAGAGAGCGAUGGGAAAGUAUAUGUAUGUAUAUCGCGAUGUAUAGUACAUACAUUUAGCAUUUGCGCCAACUAUUUAUAAAGAAAAACCGUAGCGGCGACUACAAAUUGCAGUUGAAAGCCUGCCAAUAAGCAAAUGAACUCGAAUGGAAGAGCGGAUGAAAAGUAAGAGAGCCGGUUGAACCGGUAGAGAAAACUACUACACACGAAAGUGAGCCAAAAGUCACCCGAUAAGGCUUCUUAUCGCCUGCAGUUCUCGUAGCCCCCCACUCCUUCAACCACGGUGCAUAGGUCAACAACACUACGGAGCCUCAAGGUUCUAGAACUUGUCAUAAAAGUGGUGAGCACGCGGAAAUGAUUCACUCUGCUGCUCUGUAGAUUUGGAUUACGAAACACCAGAGAAAUGGGAACGAUUACGCGACUUUUCAACUGCACUGCCGCCAGUGGGGAAAAAUAUUUGAAUUUUUUUUAAGGGCCCAGGGUUUCUGUUCACUGCGUAUCACGCCCACUCACCGAACUGGAAACUGAAUCUGGGAUGUGGUGAUUAGCUGCUGGCUACUGGCUGGGUCCGCUGCUGCUGCUGCACUGGAGGAGAGCGGUUAACGCUUUUAUUUUCGGUCCGUGUCGCUGCUGCCGCCGCUGCCGAUGCCUCUGCUACCGCUGACUGCGGCGUCAACGUGAAAUUCCAAAGCGAAA